UGAGUAACCUGCCCUUCACUCUGGGAUAACUCCGGGGAAACCGGGGCUAAUACUGGAUACGACCUGAACAGGCAUCUGUAUCGGGUGGAAAGAUUUAUUGGUGGAGGAUGGACUCACGGCCUAUCAGCUUGUUGGUGAGGUAAUGGCUCACCAAGGCGACGACGGGUAGCUGGUCUGAGAGGAUGGCCAGCCACAUUGGGACUGAGACACCGGCCCAGACCUCCGUACGGGAGCA
rnacentral:rRNA from 1 species